rnacentral:rRNA from 1 species
AACGCUAGCUACAGGCUUAACACAUGCAAGUCGAGGGGCAGCAUGGUCUUAGCUUGCUAAGGCCGAUGGCGACCGGCGCACGGGUGAGUAACACGUAUCCAACCUGCCGUCUACUCUUGGACAGCCUUCUGAAAGGAAGAUUAAUACAAGAUGGCAUCAUGAGUCCGCAUGUUCACAUGAUUAAAGGUAUUCCGGUAGACGAUGGGGAUGCGUUCCAUUAGAUAGUAGGCGGGGUAACGGCCCACCUAGUCUUCGAUGGAUAGGGGUUCUGAGAGGAAGGUCCCCCACAUUGGAACUGAGACACGGUCCAAACUCCUACGGGAGGCAGCAGUGAGGAAUAUUGGUCAAUGGACGAGAGUCUGAACCAGCCAAGUAGCGUGCAGGAAGACGGCCCUAUGGGUUGUAAACUGCUUUUAUAAGGGAAUAAAGUGAGAGUCGUGACUCUUUUUGCAUGUACCUUAUGAAUAAGGACCGGCUAAUUCCGUGCCAGCAGCCGCGGUAAUACGGAAGGUCCGGGCGUUAUCCGGAUUUAUUGGGUUUAAAGGGAGCGUAGGCCGGAGAUUAAGCGUGUUGUGAAAUGUAGACGCUCAACGUCUGCACUGCAGCGCGAACUGGUUUCCUUGAGUACGCACAAAGUGGGCGGAAUUCGUGGUGUAGCGGUGAAAUGCUUAGAUAUCACGAAGAACUCCGAUUG